GACCUCCCAAUGAUUACCACAGGCUGUGUUCUUUACACUGACUAUAUGGAAAGAGGAGGUAUAGUAAAUGCACCCCAUAUACACCUCAACCCAGGCCCUUUGCCGGGUAUGUAUAGUGAAUGGGGGGAUAAAA